GGUCCCCAGGAGCCCCGCCUCCUCUGGCCUUAAGGCGAGCACUCCUCCUGGGGGCAACCAGUUCCCUUCGCCUCUCUGCCCUAAGCCUCUGCAGAUCAGGAGAGGCCGAAGGGUUACUGGGCCCUGGAGGAGGCUCACCUGUGGCCACUGAGUCAUCAAGCCCCUCUGGGGCCAGAAGGGCUUCACCUGGGGCCAGCUCCUGAUGCACUGCCACAGGUGCAGGCUCUUCAGCAUCUAGGCCUUGCCCCAGUUCAGCCGGCCCUGGAGGCGGGGACUCCUGUGCAGGCUGGGAUUCCUCUGUUUCAUCCUCCGAAUCGGAAUCCCAGGCCAUCACACU